rnacentral:rRNA from 1 species
UACGGAGGGGGCUAGCGUUGUUCGGAAUUACUGGGCGUAAAGCGCACGUAGGCGGCUUUGUAAGUUAGAGGUGAAAGCCCCGGGCUCAACCUGGGAACCGCGCUUGAGACUGGCACGCUCGAGUUCGGGAGAGGAUGGUGGAAUUCCCAGUGUAGAGGUGAAAUUCGUAGAUAUUGGGAAGAACACCGAUGGCGAAGGCAGCCAUCUGGACCGACACUGACGCUGAGGCGCGAAAGCGUGGGGAGCAAACAGG